CGACGUCUCCCUUCUCCCUCACCGGCGUCUUCCUUCUCCCUCACCGGCUCUCCCUCUCUCAAACCGCUGUACGAAGACGAACCAAAGUUCACUAUGAUUUUCGCCCCCCAAUUGACUCUUUCUCUGGAUGAAUGGGAGAGCAAAAUUGAGGGAGCAGGUGGACAUGUUCAUAAUAAGAUCAAGAAAGACACACACUGCUUAGUUGUGAGUGGAGUGCUGGAUAAUAAAGAGGCUGACACGAGGAAGGAAAGGAGGAUGAAAAUACCUAUCAUUAGAGAGGACUAUCAGGUUGAUUGUGUCAAAAGACCAAAAACUUCCUUUUGAUCUAUACACAAUUGAAGCCAUCAGAGAAGAGUCUAGCAUGGUCACUUAAAGUGAAAGGGCGAAAUGUUGUACAUGAAUCAUCUGGCUUGCAAGAUUCUGGCCACAUCCUUGAGGAUGGAAAAAGCAUUUACAAUACAACUUUGAACAUGUCUGACCUUUAAACUAAUUACGAUAUCCUUUAAAUCAUUCAAGAGGAUAAAGGUUCAGGAUUAUGGGGGGUCAAUAAAGAGGUGGUCCCUAAGAAGAAAAAUAUUAACGAUGCAGGAAGCCAACUUGCACCCCCAUUAGGAGAAUUGAUGAAGAUGCUCUUUAAUGCAUACAGUUGGUGUCUUCAGAAAGAAAGGUACCAAACUAUAUGAAGCAAGCUUGAAGGAUGAGAAGCGUUUAGAUCAAUGGCUUCAUUGUUAAAUUAAGCAAGUGUUUUAGUAAAUAAAUUUAAUUUUCCCAUCAUGUUUACACCUUCAAAAUAUUCUGUAAAUGACAUUUGAUGUAGAAUUUUUUGUACA